rnacentral:lncRNA from 1 species
GCAGAUAUCAAUGGUUUUCAAAUACCAGGCUUCAUUCCAGAAAUAGUCCAAAACAUAAAUACCCUGAAGGACAUUGACAAGGAUCAUUGAGUUGGUUACAUGACCAUACAGCUCCUGCUGUUUAGCAGCAUAAGAAAGGUUAAUCAGAGUCCAGGCUACAAUACCAGGGCGUCCAUUGAAGAACAGCUUGAAAUCAAACCACUUUCCUAUUCGAGGGUUAAAU